rnacentral:rRNA from 1 species
AGCGAACGCCGGCGGCAGGCCUAACACAUGCAAGUCGAACGAACUCUUCGGAGUUAGUGGCGGACGGGUGAGUAACACGUGGGAACGUGCCUUUAGGUUCGGAAUAACUCAGGGAAACUUGUGCUAAUACCGAAUGUGCCCUUCGGGGGAAAGAUUUAUCGCCUUUAGAGCGGCCCGCGUCUGAUUAGCUAGUUGGUGAGGUAAAGGCUCACCAAGGCGACGAUCAGUAGCUGGUCUGAGAGGAUGAUCAGCCACAUUGGGACUGAGACACGGCCCAAACUCCUACGGGAGGCAGCAGUGGGGAAUCUUGUGCAAUGGGCGAAAGCCUGACGCAGCCAUGCCGCGUGAAUGAUGAAGGUCUUAGGAUUGUAAAAUUCUUUCACCGGGGACGAUAAUGACGGUACCCGGAGAAGAAGCCCCGGCUAACUUCGUG